rnacentral:rRNA from 1 species
AAACUGAAGAGUUUGAUCCUGGCUCAGAUUGAACGCUGGCGGCAUGCUUUACACAUGCAAGUCGAGCGGCAUCGCGGGGGCAACCCUGGCGGCGAGCGGCGAACGGGUGAGUAAUGCAUCGGAACGUGUCCUCUAGUGGGGGAUAACCCAUCGAAAGGUGGGCUAAUACCGCAUAAGCUCUGAGGAGGAAAGCGGGGGACCGAAAGGCCUCGCGCUGGAGGAGCGGCCGAUGUCCGAUUAGCUAGUUGGUGGGGUAAAGGCCCACCAAGGCGACGAUCGGUAGCUGGUCUGAGAGGAUGAUCAGCCACACUGGGACUGAGACACGGCCCAGACUCCUACGGGAGGCAGCAGUGGGGAAUUUUGGACAAUGGGGGGAACCCUGAUCCAGCCAUGCCGCGUGAGUGAAGAAGGCCUUCGGGUUGUAAAGCUCUUUCGCACGCGACGAUGAUGACGGUAGCGUGAGAAGAAGCCCCGGCUAA